UGACGGGACGCCCGGCCCAUGCACAGGCGGCCCCGGGCCUCCCACUGCCUCCCCGGGGCCUGUCGCUGCCCGGGAGCGGGCGGAUGUGGGCGCCCCGCAGGAGGCCGGAGCCCUUCGGCCCCGGAACCAGCCCGGGCCGCCAGCGGGCCAGAGCCCCAGCGAGCGGGCGCGGUCCAGGGCGCGCAGAGGACCCAGCCAGCCGGACCGGCCGGAGACCCAGCCGCAGCCGCAGCCGCAGCCGCAGCCGCAGCCGGAGCCGGAGCCGAGGCGGGCAGCACAGGGACUCCAUCCGGGCACCGCUUUUGUCUGAGCCACACUGACCCUCAGCCAUCUGGUCUACGAGAGACUGAAUCUCUUCUUCCUCACAAUCGUUCAACAAAAGGAACAUCUACUGUCUCGUACUUCAGGAAACCCUCGUAGAGGCAGGAUGAGCCACCAUCUACCAUAGAGGAAGCCAUCAUCACCCAAAGAGAGUACAGUGGAGCCUGGGACAGACUCAGGGGACACCAAAUGAACGGUAGAAGGCUCCUGGCUUCUUCUCCAAAAUGUGGCACUGCACAUCUGGAGUGAUCUGCGCAUCUGGCUGCAUCCCUAGGGCAAUGGCCACAGCUGCUGACAUUUGAGGGAGGAGAGGGCCAGUUCCUCAGCAGGGCCUAGGGGGCUAUAAAUAACCAGCUAAGAGGGCCAAGGGAACCAGGUUGACCUUUGGGGGGCAGGAGCUACAGGCAAUGUCCCCCUCCCACUUGGGUCCAGAGCCAAAGUUUUAGCAAAACAGGAAGAGGCAGUUGCUGGGAAAGUAGGAGUGGCUCCCCUUCCCCCACUUGCCUGGAGCCUUAGGAUCCCAGCCAGGACCUGGGAGAGGUGGAGUCAGCUAGGCUGGAGGGAGGGGCAGGCUCCACAGACCGAUGGGCCUAGUCCCUGCCCUCCUGUGGCUCAGCUGGGCACAGGCAGGAAUGAGAAGGGAAGCCUAGUGGAGUGUGCCUGUCUCCUCCCUGCCUCCUUCUCUUUCCUUCCUGUUCCCCACCAGUGGACAUAAAGGUUAGGCAUGGAGCAAGCACCAAACGUGCCUAAGAUGCAAGUCGUGUAUUUGGAGGCCCAGGGUCAAGGUGAGGUCACCUCCAUUUCCAUCCUUCAUCAGCAGGUAGCUAGGCUGAGACUAAUUUCAAGUGGGUGGGAAUGGGGGACUCCAGACAGGAGGAGAGACACCUCCAGCCUUCUGGAAAGGAGACAGAGGAGGGGCAGAAGCUGGUCCAAGAGGAAUGGUGGAGAACUGACCUGUGAGCUAGAGGAGAUAGAAAGCUAGGGCAGUCCUUGUUGCUGUACACAGGGCAGACUCCAGGAAGCUAAGCUCCAGCUCAGAAGCAAGCCAGGCUGGAGGAAUUUUCUAACAAAUGUAUUGCUCUGCUUUGUGUGGGGGAGGCUGGGCCCUGAGAGUCUGCAGACAUCUAGUCGGUGCUUUGCCUGGUCCACGUCUUUAGGGAGCUUAGUAUUCAAAUGCAUUGGGUCAUCACUGGCUCCUUAACCUUUAGUCCAUGUUUCCCUGCUGGAUAGUCUAGACCAGAACCAUCCAGUAGAAGCAGAGUAAAGUCAGUGUGUGUAAGUUUACAUAUUCUACUUGUCAUUCCUACAAAUUAAAAAAUAGAUGAUUAAUAGUAUAUUUACUUAAUAUUUAUUUGAAGGCAUCAUUUCAUAUCAUCAAAAUAGAAAGUUUUUGUCUUCUUCUUCUUCUUUUUUCCUACCAAGUCCUUGAAAUCCAGAGCGUAUAUUUCACUUACAACAUAUUUCAGUUCUGACUGGCCGCUGUGUCUGUGGCUACUGUGGGGACAGCACAGGUUUAUGACUUUGAGCUUAAGCCCUUUGUCCCCUAGAAAGAACCAAGGAGGUAGCCAGCAAGGUCAGUGUCAUAGGUUUAUUUACUCUAAUAGAAUGGCUGCUCAUGUCUCUAGACCUGAGAUCAGUUCUAAUACAUAUGCAAGCAGGAAAACUGAGUCAAGGAGCAGCUGGCACUCUCAUCCCCUUCCCAGGCCUCUUCCUCUGGGCUGAAGAUCGGGAGAAUCUCACUUCUUCUUUAACAACACUAGCCUGGGUCUGGAGAGAUGACUCACCAGCUAAGAGUUCUUGCUGCAUUUGCUGCCCUUCCAGAGGGCCCUGGUUCAGUUCCCAGCACCCACAUGACUGCUAACCACCACCUAUAACCCCAGGUCUAGGAAUCCAAUGUCUUCUUAACCUCACAGGCAACAGGCACGCAUGUGCUGUGCUUAAAUUAAAUGUAUGUAAGUAGACUAAUACAAACAAAAUAAAU